UACGUAGGGAGCAAGCGUUGUUCGGAUUUACUGGGCGUAAAGGGCGCGUAGGCGGCGCGGUAAGUCACUUGUGAAAUCUCUGAGCUUAACUCAGAACGGCCAAGUGAUACUGCAGUGCUAGAGUGCAGAAAGGGCAAUCGGAAUUCUUGGUGUAGCGGUGAAAUGCGUAGAUAUCAAGAGGAACACCUGAGGCGAAGGCGGGUUGCUAGGCUGACACUGACGCUGAUGCGCGAAAGCCAGGGGAGCAAACAGG
rnacentral:rRNA from 1 species